rnacentral:lncRNA from 1 species
UCCAGGCUGAGUCAGGGGUCCCCCACUCCACUCCUGCCCUGUCUUGAUGGUCCACCUGUCUGUCCUGCCCCUGCCACACUGGGAGCCCUGCAGAGGAGAGCAGCGCUGGAUAUUGAGCAGGGGCCAGAGAGUUACCAUCUGCGUUUCGCAAAAGAGGAAAGUGAGGCUCAAAGGAGAGAAAGUGACUUGCCCAAGGCCACAUGGCAGAUCCACUGGGGACAGAAAGAUCAUCCUGCCUCCACUUUUUAGACAUCCAUAUCCCCCUUGCAAGGAAGAACAGCAUAAAGUCAAAUGGCUUCAGGAUUAGUGUAAGGGAACCUUCAGCCUGAAGAAUUGAGCCUGCACAAGACUUGAAGGUCCCUCCCGCGCCGUCUUUUGGCUCCUUGUCCAGAGUCAGAGCAGAGGUUAGAACUCGGUGGGGCUAGAGACGUGUUGACCCCAUACAGGGAGGGGUUCAAGACAUGGCUUCAUUAGGCAUCCCGGAAAUGCAUCUGGAGUGCAGACCCCAUUCCCUGAUGUCCUGUAUAUUAAUUCACUGGAUCCCCAGGACGACCCUGCAAGAGAGGCCUAUGACAUUAUCCCUGUUUCGAAGAUGGAGAAACUGAGGCCAAGAAGGGGAAAUGACUUCCACAAGGUUACGCAGCUCCCUUCCCCUGAAGACCCAGCGUUGGGGCAGGAGACCCCCAAGCUGUGGGUGAGAUGCCCAGAGCUCUGAGAGGGGGAGGAGGGGAGCUUCCAGGCAGGCCCCAGCUUGGUCUGGGAGGAUCAGGAGAUGCAGACAGGCUCCCCCUCCCCACCCCCAGACUCCAGUUGCCUUGACAACAG